GACGAAGGGGGGUAGCGUUGUUCGGAAUUACUGGGCGUAAAGCGCGUGUAGGCGGACUGGUAAGUCGGACGUGAAAUCCCUGGGCUCAACCCAGGAACUGCAUCCGAAACUAUCAGUCUGGAGUGGUGGAGAGGGAAGCAGAAUUCCUGGUGUAGAGGUGAAAUUCGUAGAUAUCAGGAGGAACACCGGUGGCGAAGGCGGCUUCCUGGACACUAACUGACGCUCAGACGCUAAAGCGUGGGGAGCAAACAGG
rnacentral:rRNA from 1 species